CGUAUCACCCAAGACAACUUUACGGAGUUGACGAUUGACGGAGCGAAGCGACGUCAAAGCGUUCAUUAAAGUCGAGUUGGCUUAGGGAUACGUUCGUUGGGUAGGGGAGCGUUCUGUAAGCCAGUGAAGGUGUGUCGUGAGGCAUGCUGGAGGUAUCAGAAGUGCGAAUGCUGACAUAAGUAACGAUAAAGCGGGUGAAAAGCCCGCUCGCCGGAAGACCAAGGGUUCCUGUCCAACGUUAAUCGGGGCAGGGUGAGUCGACCCCUAAGGCGAGGCCGAAAGGCGUAGUCGAUGGGAAACGGGUUAAUAUUCCCGUACUUGGUGUUACUGCGAAGGGGGGACGGAGAAGGCUAUGUUGGCCGGGCGACGGUUGUCCCGGUUUAAGCGUGUAGGUGUGUGUUCCAGGUAAAUCCGGUUCACUUUAACACUGAGGCGUGAUGACGAGGCACUACGGUGCUGAAGCAACAAAUGCCCUGCUUCCAGGAAAAGCCUCUAAGCAUCAGGUAACAUCAAAUCGUACCCCAAACCGACACAGGUGGUCAGGUAGAGAAUACCAAGGCGCUUGAGAGAACUCGGGUGAAGGAACUAGGCAAAAUGGUGCCGUAACUUCGGGAGAAGGCACGCUGACACGUAGGUGAAGUGAUUUACUCAUGGAGCUGAAAUCAGUCGAAGAUACCAGCUGGCUGCAACUGUUUAUUAAAAACACAGCACUGUGCAAACACGAAAGUGGACGUAUACGGUGUGACGCCUGCCCGGUGCCGGAAGGUUAAUUGAUGGGGUCAGCGCAAGCGAAGCUCCUGAUCGAAGCCCCGGUAAACGGCGGCCGUAACUAUAACGGUCCUAAGGUAGCGAAAUUCCUUGUCGGGUAAGUUCCGACCUGCACGAAUGGCGUAAUGAUGGCCAGGCUGUCUCCACCCGAGACUCAGUGAAAUUGAACUCGCUGUGAAGAUGCAGUGUACCCGCGGCAAGACGGAAAGACCCCGUGAACCUUUACUAUAGCUUGACACUGAACAUUGAGCCUUGAUGUGUAGGAUAGGUGGGAGGCUUUGAAGCGUGGACGCCAGUCUGCGUGGAGCCGACCUUGAAAUACCACCCUUUAAUGUUU
rnacentral:rRNA from 1 species